rnacentral:rRNA from 1 species
ACGGGAGGCAGCAGUGGGGAAUAUUGCACAAUGGAGGAAACUCUGAUGCGGCGACGCCGCGUGAGUGAAGAAGUAUUUCGGUAUGUAAAGCUCUAUCAGCAGGGAAGAUAAUGACGGUACCUGACUAAGAAGCACCGGCUAAAUACGUGCCAGCAGCCGCGGUAAUACGUAUGGUGCAAGCGUUAUCCGGAUUUACUGGGUGUAAAGGGAGCGUAGGUGGUCUGGCAAGCCAGAAGUGAAAACCCAGGGCUCAACCCCGAGGAUUGCUUUCGGAACUGUUGGACUAGAGUGCAGGAGGGGUAAGUGGAAUUCCCAGUGUAGCGGUGAAAUGCUUAGAUAUUGGGAGGAACACCAGUGGCGAAGGCGACUUACUGGACUGUAACUGACGCUGAGGCGCGAAAGUGUGGGGAGCAAACAGGAUUAGAUACCCUGGUA